CAUGAUGGGAAGAAGUAGCUUGUCCUUUGUUGGGAGAAGUCAUAUUUUAACAUGGAGGCUGCUAUUCAUGUGGCAGCCAUCUUAAGGCAAGGGAAAAGGGAAAUGUAAUACUGGUGGCCCCAUUGCUACCCUUACACACUCUCUUUGGAACCCAACCUGGAUGAGCGUCGGAUCUUUGGGUGAACUCGUCUGUGAGAGACUCGGAGUAAAAGGGACAGCACGUGGAUCUCCCAGGACCACUUCCGGACACAGACGAGGGACACUAGUGCAGGUUUCACACAACCACCUGCUAUGCUCCGUUGGCAUACAGAUGCCGUGGGCAAGACCCAGAAACCACAAGUCCUUUGGAAGAUGUCCAAGCAGGUAACUGGAGAGGCCCCGCUGCCCUGAUAACUUGGGGGAGAGAUUUUGCUCGUGUGCUGACAGAUAACGAAACCUCGUGGCUGCUCUCUGGGAACGUGGCACCCUGGGUCGUGCUGGUGGAACCGCCCCGCCCUCUGGGAGACUGAGGAUUGCACCCCUGCUGAGAGCAAAGAGCCAGCUGAGCCUGGACCAACCACCUCACCCAGGACAACUGCACAGAUGCACGAUAAGGUCCGGGAUUGAGAUGAUGCCUCCAGCGGGAGAACGAAUAUGGAUAUAUAUGGUAUUAAAAAGACUGGGUCCUGAAGAUUAUGGAGCUGUCCCUGCCCAGUUGAUGCAGACCCUGAAGAAGAUACCACAACCACAGCGAAGUCCGCAUGCUGUCUUCCAAGUGCUGCUGCAGAUAAUUAUCUCUGACUAUACUGUUUCUGUCUCCCCUAUUGUGGCAAACCUUUCCAAAUUUCCUUUGCUAGCCAGCUGGGCCAAAUCAUUUGGUCUCUCACAUCUUCUCAAAUUUUAAUAGAACAGUUUUUUCCUUGGCUAAGAAGCCCUGUUGGGUCCAGAGAUUUAGCUCAGUGGUGCUGCCAACUGCCUCACAAGUGCAAUGUCCUAAGCUCAAUCCCUGGUACCCACUCCCCACCAAAAAGAAGCCCUGCUGAACCACAAAUAAAUGGAGAAUAGAAUUCAUCUAAAUUAAUACCAGCACAAUACAGAGAUCCUGUAGCACUUACACCUUACCUGGCUGCUUUGUGUACUCUAUGGUCCAGACAGACUCACUGGUCACUUUUCAGGCCUUGGACAGUCACUUGGCUGGUGGUGUUGUCUGUACUUUAUAUUUCUGUCCUGCUGCAAGAAGCUCUGAACUGAGAUCCAUGUUCACUGGAGCCUAGUGAGGAAAGCUGUGAAACACCAAAAGACUAUUUUAUUACCCAGGGUUCCAAAGACUAAACUUAAUCUAUUUUUAUCGUAUCCCAACUUUAUCCCAUCCUCUUUUUUUAAGUGGGCUC
rnacentral:lncRNA from 1 species